ACUUUUCUUGGCUUUCCCGCUGGUUUAGGACAAUUUUUAUUUAAAUUUUGUACUAAGCCUCCGCAAAAAUCAUUUCGUUAUAAAACUUUUCACAUUUUGUGUUUACUUUCUACUUCCUAUGACCAAAACGUGGACCUCUUGUGGGCUGGACCCUGCCAAUUUGCGAGUGACAAGGGUUUUUGGUGACGUUACGUCAAAAGGAUGUAAAAAUAGCUGCUUACUGUGUUGGCCAGGAAACAGAAUCGCACAAAAAGUGUCCCACAAAAAGUUUCAAUUAGUUGAGUGCAAUGUUUAGACAAGAUGACGAGGGCCCAUGGACAACCUAUUUUUUUUCGGAAGCACGACAAUCCCGUGCGGACUAGGAGGACUCUCUAGCCCCCAGCUCGGGCAUUUCAUUUGCAAUAUGAUGUUCGCAUUUCUCUUACAACUCGUGCUCCGUUUGGCACACUCCCGGAGGAAAUCCUGAACAGCUUUUUCGGACCACUAUCAGCACGGCUGGGAGGAGCAACAUUACUCGCCGCCACUCGGUCAUCCUCAUUUCUGGAUUAAACAUUGCUACCGAUGGAGGCGCUCAACCAAGUUGAAUUUGUUGUGUAACGAAAGCCUUUUAAUUUCCGAUUG
ensembl:ncRNA lncRNA:CR45880 long non-coding RNA:CR45880